GCGUGUGUGAAGAAGGCCUGCGGGUUGUAAAGCACUUUCAGCAGGGAAGAAAAGCGCAGGGCUAAUACCUCUGCGUCUUGACGUAACCUGAAGAAGAAGCACCGGCUAACUCCGUGCCAGCAGCCGCGGUAAUACGGAGGGUGCAAGCGUUAAUCGGAAUUACUGGGCGUAAAGCGCACGUAGGCGGCUUCUUAAGUCGGAUGUGAAAGCCCCGGGCUUAACCUGGGAACUGCAUCCGAUACUGGGAAGCUAGAGUAAGGGAGAGGGAAGCGGAAUUUCCGGUGUAGCGGUGAAAUGCGU
rnacentral:rRNA from 1 species